CAAAACCUCAGCGUAUGUACUGACCUCAUACUUUCGUCAUGAAUCCGUGGAGUGUUUCGGUCCUUCUUGUAGUGUUUGCCUUGCUAUCGACCGCACCUGUUAACAGUGUACCGUAUAAAAGAGACCGAACGAGUAUACUAUUGAGUACCGAUGGGGAGAGAUCGGCGUUACGUGUACGACGAGAAGAUACAACCGGAACUGACGAUGCUGGACAGGGAUUCGGGAACAAACAAUUGCCAUCUCCUCCUUGAGUGCAACCAAUCUUAAUGCCAUUUGAUCAUGGAUACAAAACGAGUAACAUCAUCUUUCAGUUAGAUGUUAGCGAGGACAAUCGAUUUAGAUUUAAAACAUUGUUUUCAUAAUUUCUGUCAACAAAUAUGUAUCACUAAUUCAUAUAAAUUAAUUGAUUCAU